rnacentral:rRNA from 1 species
AACGUAGGACGCAAGCGUUUGUCCGGAGUUACUGGGCGUAAAGGGCAGGCAGGCGGGUCGAUAAGUCGGAUGUGAAAUCUCCCUGGCUUAACCGGGAGAGUGCAUUUGAGACUGUCAACCUGGAGGGCAGCAGAGGAGCGUGGAAUCCGGGUGGAGUGGUGAAAUGCGUAGAGAUCCGGAGGAACACCAGAGGCGAAAGCGGCGCUCUGG